rnacentral:misc_RNA from 1 species
GAUCCCAAAAGAAAGCUCAUGGAACAAGGAUUCCAACGCCACCAGAAUCGCGUCUAUCUGACGUUGGACGGCCUGGAAUCACAUCGGAAAGCUUCUACCUUCGCGCGUACGUCUUUCUCUCUCAUCCUUCGUUUUCCACCACUUCUAGUGGUCCUGGCCUCCAUUCACGACCUCAUAGUGGUCGUUGGAAGUAGUGUUGUUGUUUGAGGGUGUGGCCAGCGAUAGGUGGUGGUUCACCGGAGAAGA